CGGGGUGUAGCGCAGACCGGUUAGCGCGUGACGUUCGGGACGUCAAGGUCCCCGGUUCGAAUCCGGGCACCCCGA
rnacentral:tRNA from 1 species